UAAGGCCAAUGAUGGAGUAUGAUAAUAUAUGCCUACAUUGUCUGAUCAUUAUAAUUUGAUUGACCAAAUAUGGACUGAGGCCUUU
rfam:Nicotiana attenuata strain TT chromosome 1, whole genome shotgun sequence.